GGUUGAUCCUGCCAGUAGUCAUAUGCUUGUCUCAAAGAUUAAGCCAUGCAUGUCUAAGUAUAAACAAGUUUGUACUGUGAAACUGCGAAUGGCUCAUUAAAUCAGUUAUAGUUUAUUUGAUGAUGACUUGCUACAUGGAUAACUGUGGUAAUUCUAGAGCUAAUACAUGCAAUCAAGCCCCGACUCUUGGAAGGGGUGUAUUUAUUAGAUAAAAAACCAACGCGGCUCGCCGCUCGUUUGGUGAUUCAUAAUAACUGCUCGAAUCGCAUGGCCUUGUGCCGGCGAUGCUUCAU
rnacentral:rRNA from 1 species